GUCCCAGUAGCUCAGUUGGAUAGAGCAACGGCCUUCUAAGCCGUGGGUCACAGGUUCGAAUCCUGCCUGGGACA
rnacentral:tRNA from 1 species